GACGAACGCUGGCGGCGUGCCUAAUACAUGCAAGUAGAACGCUGAAGGAGGAGCUUGCUUCUCUGGAUGAGUUGCGAACGGGUGAGUAACGCGUAGGUAACCUGCCUGGUAGCGGGGGAUAACUAUUGGAAACGAUAGCUAAUACCGCAUAAGAGUAGAUGUUGCAUGACAUUUGCUUAAAAGGUGCAAUUGCAUCACUACCAGAUGGACCUGCGUUGUAUUAGCUAGUUGGUGGGGUAACGGCUUAACAAGGCGACGAUACAUAGCCGACCUGGGAGGGUGAUCGGCCACACUGGGACUGGGACACGGCCCAGACUCCUACGGGAGGCAGCAGUAGGGAAUCUUCGGCAAUGGACGGAAGUCUGACCGAGCAACGCCGCGUGAGUGAAGAAGGUUUUCGGAUCGUAAAGCUCUGUUGUAAGAGAAGAACGAGUGUGAGAGUGGAAAGUUCACACUGUGACGGUAUCUUACCAGAAAGGGACGGCUAACUACGUG
rnacentral:rRNA from 1 species